rnacentral:misc_RNA from 1 species
GUAUUAAAGGGUUGCAAAUGCUUGUAUCUUGGAAUUGACGAUGAUAUGGAAGAUGUUGGCACUACUGUUAUUGUUCGAGAUCUGUUUUACAACCAACCAGUUCGAAGGAAGCAAAUGCACUCCAACCCAAAGAAGGUGUUGCAUGCUCUGAAAGAGUCUCUGCUAAGAAUCGCCCUUGUUCAUCCCAGUGUCUCCUUUAAAAUUGUUGAUAUUGAAAGUGAG